rnacentral:rRNA from 1 species
AUUGAACGCUGGCGGCAUGCCUUACACAUGCAAGUCGAACGGCAGCACGGGAGCAAUCCUGGUGGCGAGUGGCGAACGGGUGAGUAAAGUAUCGGAACGUGCCCAGUCGUGGGGGAUAACGUAGCGAAAGUUACGCUAAUACCGCAUACGAGCUAUGGAUGGAAGCGGGGGAUCGCAAGACCUCGCGCGAUUGGAGCGGCCGAUAUCAGAUUAGGUAGUUGGUGGGGUAAAGGAUCACCAAGCCGACGAUCUGUAGCUGGGCUGAGAGGACGACCAGCCACACUGGGACUGAGACACGGCCCAGACUCCUACGGGAGGCAGCAGUGGGGAAUUUUGGACAAUGGGCGAAAGCCUGAUCCAGCCAUGCCGCGUGCAGGAUGAAGGCCUUCGGGUUGUAAACUGCUUUUGUACGGAACGAAAAGGUUUGGCCUAAUAAGCUGAGCUCAUGACGGUACCGUAAGAAUGAGCACCGGCUAACUACGUGCCAGCAGCCGCCGCCG